rnacentral:tRNA from 1 species
GGGUCUAUAGCCAAGUGGCUAAGGCGUGGGACUGCAACUCCCUGAUCGUUGGUUCAAAUCCGACUAGGCCCUCCA